CUUCAUUGGAACAUUUGCAUUGUGUUCCUGGGCUAUUCAGGGGAGGGUAGAGGAGGCCUGCUACUCAUGGUGAAGGCAGCUAGCUCUAAACCUCCCUUAGUGAGGGAUGACCUGUGUGUAUGGAUUCAACAUGAAAGACUGAGGAGAUCCGUUAUCAAAAUGUACCAAAGAGUUGUACUGGGACGUGUGCCAGGCACUUGUGAUACAGCCAAUAGAGAGCAGACCAGAAUAUCUUCCUGCACUCUGAAUUCUGGGUGAAGCUUCCAGUUAUGC
rnacentral:lncRNA from 1 species